rnacentral:rRNA from 1 species
GAUGAACGCUAGCGAUAGGCUUAACACAUGCCAGUCGAGGGGCAGCAUGGUCUUAGCUUGCUAAGACUGAUGGCGACCGGCGCACGGGUGCGUAACGCGUAUGCAACUUGCCUCACAGAGGGGGAUAACCCGUCGAAAGACGGACUAAUACCGCGUACACUCUAUUUUGGGCAUCCAAGGUAGAGGAAAUGAAACUCGCUGUGAGAUAGGCAUGCGUCCCAUUAGCUAGUUGGUGAGGUAACGGCUCACCAAGGCGACGAUGGGUAGGGGAACUGAGAGGUUGAACCCCCACACUGGUACUGAGACACGGACCAGACUCCUACGGGAGGCAGCAGUGAGGAAUAUUGGUCAAUGGGCGAGAGCCUGAACCAGCCAAGUCGCGUGAAGGAUGACUGUCUUAUGGAUUGUAAACUUCUUUUGUAGGGGAAUAAAGAGGGGCACGUGUGCCCCAGUGAAUGUACCCUACGAAUAGGCAUCGGCUAACUCCGUG